rnacentral:rRNA from 1 species
AAGUCCCGUAAACAAGGUCUCCGUUGGUGAACCAGCGGAGGGAUCAUUACAGAGUUGCAAAACUCCCAAACCAUUGUGAACGUUACCCAUCCCGUUGCUUCGGCGGGCGGCCCGGGCCCCGUGCCCGGCGCCCCCCGGCCCCUCGCGGGCGCCCGCCGGAGGUAAACCAAACUCUUGAAUUGUAUGGCCUCUCUGAGUCUUCUGUACUGAAUAAGUCAAAACUUUCAACAACGGAUCUCUUGGUUCUGGCAUCGAUGAAGAACGCAGCGAAAUGCGAUAAGUAAUGUGAAUUGCAGAAUUCAGUGAAUCAUCGAAUCUUUGAACGCACAUUGCGCCCGCCAGUAUUCUGGCGGGCAUGCCUGUUCGAGCGUCAUUUCAACCAUCAAGCCCCCGGCUUGUGUUGGGGACCUGCGGCUGCCGCAGGCCCUGAAAACCAGUGGCGGGCUCGCUAGUCACUCCGAGCGUAGUAGUUACAUCUCGCUCAGGGCGUGCUGCGGGUUCCGGCCGUUAAAAAGCCUUAUUUACCCCAAGGUUGACCUCGGAUCAGGUAGGAAGACCCGCUGAACUUAAGCAUAUCAAUAA